GCCGAGAUAGCUCAGUC
rnacentral:tRNA from 9 species